rnacentral:rRNA from 1 species
GAUGAACGCUAGCGGGAGGCCUAAUACAUGCAAGUCGAGCGGUAGAGUCCUUCGGGCUUGAGAGCGGCGCACGGGUGAGUAACGCGUACAUGACCUACCUGUAAGACAGGGAUAGCCCUGGGAAACUGGGAUUAAUACCUGAUGUGAUAAUAUGUAUAGAGAUGUAUUAUUAAAGUUGAGGCGCUUAGAGAUGGGUGUGCGUCUGAUUAGCUAGUUGGUAGGGUAACGGCCUACCAAGGCGACGAUCAGUAGGGGCGUGAGAGCGUGGCCCCCCACACGGGUACUGAGACACGGACCCGACUCCUACGGGAGGCAGCAGUAAGGAAUAUUGGUCAAUGGACGGAAGUCUGAACCAGCCAUCCCGCGUGCAGGAUGAAGGUCCUAUGGAUUGUAAACUGCUUUUGUACAGAACGAAAAAGCUCUUUCUAAUACAGAGAGUCCAUGACGGUACUGUAAGAAUAAGCACCGGCUAACUACGUGCCAGCAGCCGCGGUAA